rnacentral:rRNA from 1 species
AGAGUUUGAUCCUGGCUCAGGAUGAACGCUAGCGACAGGCUUAACACAUGCAAGUCGAGGGGCAGCACAGGUAGCAAUACCGGGUGGCGACCGGCGCACGGGUGAGUAACGCGUAUGCAACUUGCCUAUCAGAGGGGGAUAACCCGGCGAAAGUCGGACUAAUACCGCAUGAAGCAGGGAUCCCGCAUGGGAAUAUUUGCUAAAGAUUCAUCGCUGAUAGAUAGGCAUGCGUUCCAUUAGGCAGUUGGCGGGGUAACGGCCCACCAAACCGACGAUGGAUAGGGGUUCUGAGAGGAAGGUCCCCCACAUUGGUACUGAGACACGGACCAAACUCCUACGGGAGGCAGCAGUGAGGAAUAUUGGUCAAUGGCCGAGAGGCUGAACCAGCCAAGUCGCGUGAGGGAUGAAGGUUCUAUGGAUCGUAAACCUCUUUUAUAAGGGAAUAAAGUGCGGGACGUGUCCCGUUUUGUAUGUACCUUAUGAAUAAGGAUCGGCUAACUCCGUGCCAGCAGCCGCGGUAAUACGGAGGAUCCGAGCGUUAUCCGGAUUUAUUGGGUUUAAAGGGAGCGUAGAUGGAUGUUUAAGUCAGUUGUGAAAGUUUGCGGCUCAACCGUAAAAUUGCAGUUGAUACUGGAUAUCUUGAGUGCAGUUGAGGCAGGCGGAAUUCGUGGUGUAGCGGUGAAAUGCUUAGAUAUCACGAAGAACUCCGAUUGCGAAGGCAGCCUGCUGGACUGUAACUGACGCUGAUGCUCGAAAGUGUGGGUAUCAAACAGGAUUAGAUACCCUGGUAGUCCACACAGUAAACGAUGAAUACUCGCUGUUUGCGAUAUACAGUAAGCGGCCAAGCGAAAGCGUUAAGUAUUCCACCUGGGGAGUACGCCGGCAACGGUGAAACUCAAAGGAAUUGACGGGGGCCCGCACAAGCGGAGGAACAUGUGGUUUAAUUCGAUGAUACGCGAGGAACCUUACCCGGGCUUAAAUUGCAGAUGAAUUACGGUGAAAGCCGUAAGCCGCAAGGCAUCUGUGAAGGUGCUGCAUGGUUGUCGUCAGCUCGUGCCGUGAGGUGUCGGCUUAAGUGCCAUAACGAGCGCAACCCUUGUUGUCAGUUACUAACAGGUUCCGCUGAGGACUCUGACAAGACUGCCAUCGUAAGAUGUGAGGAAGGUGGGGAUGACGUCAAAUCAGCACGGCCCUUACGUCCGGGGCUACACACGUGUUACAAUGGGGGGUACAGAAGGCAGCUACACGGCGACGUGAUGCUAAUCCCUAAAGCCUCUCUCAGUUCGGAUUGGAGUCUGCAACCCGACUCCAUGAAGCUGGAUUCGCUAGUAAUCGCGCAUCAGCCACGGCGCGGUGAAUACGUUCCCGGGCCUUGUACACACCGCCCGUCAAGCCAUGGGAGCCGGGGGUACCUGAAGUGCGUAACCGCGAGGAGCGCCCUAGGGUAAAACUGGUGACUGGGGCUAAGUCGUAACAAGGUAGCCGUACCGGAAGGUGCGGCUG